rnacentral:lncRNA from 1 species
AAGACUUUCACACAUGUCAAUUCACUUAUAAUAGGUGUAAUACCUCAGUUUUUCCCGGCCCAUUGGAAGCCAAGGCAUAAUCCAAAAUUUCAAAAUAUAAAUAAAAGUCUCUUAACAGUCUUUUACCCAAAUACAAAAGCCUAAACGGUAGGCCCAAAUACAAGAGACCUUACCCAGUUACAAUAACCAGCAGGCCCACUGUUACAUCCUACCCAGAUACACUAAACCUAAGACCCAUUACAAUAGACCCAAGUGGACCCAAGACAAAAGGGGCCCAAGUGGCCCAGCUUGUUACACCAAGGCAUGAAACCCUAGGGUUUCUGCCUUUCUCCUUGCGCCGCAAGCAGAAGGUUCCAGAAGCCAAGCCUCAUGACUCUUCAGCUCCUGCUGUUCCAGCUACCCCAUCAAGGCCAUGAUUCCAGGCCCCAAGUCAUGCCGAGAUCAACACUACCAGUGGACCAUCGUCAAGCCUUUGCCAUUGCCGGAUUUUUUGCAAAUACCUGCAAGACAAGACAAAAGACACAAAGCAGAGAAGGAAACACAGCAAAUACAUAGAGCAAGAAAAAGGAAACUAAAAAGUAUCUCAGCGAAUCAAGGUCAAAGAUACAGUGAGCAAGAAAUAGAAAGAAAUCGAAGAUUUCUUUCCCAAUUUUUGUAAUAAAUAGUGGCUAUAAAAGCCCGAAAAACCAAUGUAAUAGGGGGGAUUUUUUUUAAGAGAACAGAAAGUAUACUGACAUUCAUUCAGAGAAAUAAAAACAGUCCCUAAAAGGUGAUUUAAUUGUACCUUGUUCUUAUUUUAGCAUGCAUAUAUAAAUCAUUCUAAGCAGAGAUUGUUGGGUUUUAGAAAAAGAAGGAAAGUUACCUAUAUUACGCUGGAAAAUGGAAGGGUUUUUAUCCCUCCGACCACCAUGCAUGGCGGCGCGUAGGCGCGUGGGAACCAGUGGACGGAGGUUCCAUGGAACUCCGAUGGCCAGCCCCUAG